AGUGAUGUUUAUACUCACUGGUGUCUGAUGCUGGAGAUUGGUGUUAUCAGUAAUUGUGGGGUUAAUGAACACUGAACAUUACUGUGGGUACUGGUGAAAGUGGGAUUAAUAAACCCUGGGAUUAAACUUCUCAUCUCUCUCUGAUCCACAGUUUAGAUUCUGUAGGUCUCACAGCUGCUGGUGUUGUGGAUCUCACCUCUGCUCUCAGUACAAACCGUUCACUGGCGGAGCUGGACCUGGGUUAUAAUGAACUGGGAGAUUCAGGAGUGAAGCUGGUGUUUGAGGCUCUGAGGAACCCAGGGUGUAAAAUACAGAAGCUUGAUCUGGAGUCUGUCGGUCUCACAGCUGCUGGAGUUGUGGAUCUCACCUCUGCUCUCAGUACAAACCGCUCACUGACUGAGUUGGACCUACGUGAUAAUGAACUGGGAGAUUCAGGAGUGAAACUGGUGUCUGAGGCUCUGAGAAACCCAGGGUGUAAAAUACAGAAUCUGUGUCUACGGUCUGUCGGUCUCACAGCUGCUGGUGUUGGGCAUCUCACAUCCGCUCUCAGUACAAACUGCUCACUGACUGAGC